CCUACGGGAGGCAGCAGUAGGGAAUCUUUCACAAUGGGCGAAAGCCUGAUGGAGCAACGCCGCGUGCAGGAUGAAGGCCUUCGGGUUGUAAACUGCUUUUAUAAGCGAGAAAUAUGAUGGUAACUUAUGAAUAAGGAUCGGCUAACUACGUGCCAGCAGCCGCGGUCAUACGUAGGAUCCGAGCAUUAUCCGGAGUGACUGGGUGUAAAGAGUUGCGUAGGUGGCAUAAUAAGUAGCUAGUGAAAUCUGGUGGCUCAACCAUUCAGACUAUUAGCUAAACUGUUAAGCUCGAGACCGGUAGGGGUAAGUGGAAUUUCUAGUGUAGGAGUGAAAUCCGUAGAUAUUAGAAGGAACACCAAUAGCGUAGGCAGGUUGCUGGGACGGUUCUGACACUAAGGCACGAAAGCGUAGGGAGCAAACGGGAUUAGAUACCCCAGUAGUC
rnacentral:rRNA from 1 species